rnacentral:lncRNA from 13 species
AUGCAUCAAAACUGUGUAUGCAAAGGUAAAAGUCCCUGCUUUUGUGAUAGCACGAAAGGUAGUAAGGGUGAAAAAGGCUUUCCUGGUGUGCCAGGUCCACCUGGUCAAAGAGGCUUUCCUGGUCCAGAAGGGCCUCCAGGACCACAGGGACCAAAGGUAGGUAUGUAUGUGAGACAGAGAGAUACACCCAGAGAAACUACUGUGCUUGACAGUCAAAGUUAG